GAUGAACGCUAGCUACAGGCUUAACACAUGCAAGUCGAGGGGCAGCAUGGUCUUAGCUUGCUAAGGCCGAUGGCGACCGGCGCACGGGUGAGUAACACGUAUCCAACCUGCCGUCUACUCUUGGACAGCCUUCUGAAAGGAAGAUUAAUACAAGAUGGCAUCAUGAGUCCGCAUGUUCACAUGAUUAAAGGUAUUCCGGUAGACGAUGGGGAUGCGUUCCAUUAGAUAGUAGGCGGGGUAACGGCCCACCUAGUCUUCGAUGGAUAGGGGUUCUGAGAGGAAGGUCCCCCACAUUGGAACUGAGACACGGUCCAAACUCCUACGGGAGGCAGCAGUGAGGAAUAUUGGUCAAUGGGCGCAGGCCUGAACCAGCCAAGUAGCGUGAAGGAUGACUGCCCUAUGGGUUGUAAACUUCUUUUAUAAAGGAAUAAAGUCGGGUAUGUAUACCCGUUUGCAUGUACUUGAUGAAUAAGAAUCGGCUAACUCCGUG
rnacentral:rRNA from 1 species